UACAGAGAGAGCAGGAAAGGAGGGCGGAGCUGAACCGGCCAUGUAGCACCCUCAGUGAUUCUCUGAAUCGACAUCUCCCAGCGGGGUAAAUGACGACAGUCCUCGGGCAUUUCUUUCCGACCUUCCUUCUCCUUCCCUGCUGCUCCCAGGACUCUUGAUUCUUGCCCUGAGACUAUGACAUGAUGCUCCUCCCAGAAGCUCCGAGGAAGCUGGAGGAGACAGAGGCAGCCACCCCCGGGUCACAGGAAGGCCUCUUUUCUUGAUGCCUGUAACCUCCUAUUCUCUGGGACUGCUCCCAACAAAGGAAGAUCUACAUGCUUUGACUGUAAGAGAAACUAGAGAGGGAGAGAGCCAUCCAGAGCCCAGACCUCUCUUUCUAGAG